GAACUGUAGAGUUUGAUCCUGGCUCAGAUUGAACGCUGGCGGCAUGCCUUACACAUGCAAGUCGAACGGUAACGCGGGGCAACC
rnacentral:rRNA from 1 species